UCAGGGUAUGUACAAAUAUCCAAUAUAGAUAAGUAGACUAUCUCUGCCUCAGACUUUGGGAAUCUAUUCAAGAAGAAGAGACCUAGCCUCUCCUAAUUUGUAAACUCAGCAAUCAAAUGCAGGAUGGUGUGAGAAGCUUACUCCUCCUGAAUCCCAGCCAGGACCAACUAGACAUUUGGUUGAAGAUGGACGGUGUGUUAAAGAAGUGGAUGGCAUAUAGAAGCAUGGAUUCUGGACAUGGCUGUGCCACUAAGUACAGAAGUAACAUGAGUGAGAAUAUAGAUCAGCACCCCCUUUCUAAAGAAGAGGAAACACACUUCACAUAACUUAUUCUCUUCAAUCUGAUAGUGACAAAGCUCUGCCUAAAUCUGUAUUCUUUGGAGUCUAGUAUAACUUUUUUCCCCACUGCAUCAAAGCAGGAAGUCUUUCCUUAUGUUUAAAUAAUUCUCUUUUGUGAUUUAGAUCCUUCCUUCUUGUUCUGGCCUCGGCAAGGACCAGACCAGGAGAGCAGCUGGUCACCAUUUUUUAUAUGUGAACAUUAUAAAUAAAACGUUUUCCAAACCUGCCCUAAGAGUUAGG
rnacentral:lncRNA from 12 species